GGCAGCCGCCGCGGGAACACCGGCGGCCCGAGUGGUGAUCGUGAUUAUUGGGUCUAAAGGGUCCGUAGCCGGUUUGGUCAGUCCUCCGGGAAAUCUGAUAGCUCAACUAUUAGGCUUUCGGGGGAUACUGCCAGACUUGGAACCGGGAGAGGUAAGAGGUACUACAGGGGUAGGAGUGAAAUCUUGUAAUCCCUGUGGGACCACCUGUGGCGAAGGCGUCUUACCAGAACGGGUUCGACGGUGAGGGACGAAAGCUGGGGGCACGAACCGGAUUAGAUACCCGGGUAGUCCCAGCCGUAAACGAUGCUCGCUAGGUGUCAGGCAUGGCGCGACCGUGUCUGGUGCCGCAGGGAAGCCGUGAAGCGAGCCACCUGGGAAGUACGGCCGCAAGGCUGAAACUUAAAGGAAUUGGCGGGGGAGCACAACAACGGGUGGAAGCCUGCGGUUUAAUUGGACUCAACGCCGGACAACUCACCGGGGGCGACAGCAAUAUGUAGGCCAAGCUGAAGACUUUGCCUGAAUCGCUGAGAGGAGGUGCAUGG
rnacentral:rRNA from 1 species